UACGUAGGGUGCAAGCGUUAAUCGGAAUUACUGGGCGUAAAGCGUGCGCAGGCGGGUUUGUAAGUCUGAUGUGAAAUCCCCGGGCUCAACCUGGGAAUUGCGUUGGAGACUGCAAGGCUAGAAUCUGGCAGAGGGGGGUAGAAUUCCACGUGUAGCAGUGAAAUGCGUAGAGAUGUGGAGGAACACCGAUGGCGAAGGCAGCCCCCUGGGUCAAGAUUGACGCUCAUGCACGAAAGCGUGGGGAGCAAACAGG
rnacentral:rRNA from 1 species